GAGUAACGCGUGGGAAUCUACCCAUCACUACGGAACAACUCCGGGAAACUGGAGCUAAUACCGUAUACGUCCUUCGGGAGAAAGAUUUAUCGGUGAUGGAUGAGCCCGCGUUGGAUUAGCUAGUUGGUGGGGUAAUGGCCUACCAAGGCGACGAUCCAUAGCUGGUCUGAGAGGAUGAUCAGCCACACUGGGACUGAGACACGGCCCAGACUCCUACGGGAGGCAGCAGUGGGGAAUAUUGGACAAUGGGCGAAAGCCUGAUCCAGCCAUGCCGCGUGAGUGAUGAAGGCCCUAGGGUUGUAAAGCUCUUUCAACGGUGAAGAUAAUGACGGUAACCGUAGAAGAAGCCCCGGCUAACUUCGUGCCAGCAGCCGCGGUAAUACGAAGGGGGCUAGCGUUGUUCGGAAUUACUGGGCGUAAAGCGCACGUAGGCGGAUUGUUAAGUGAGGGGUGAAAUCCCAGGGCUCAACCCUGGAACUGCCUCUCAUACUGGCAAUCUCGAGUUCGAGAGAGGUGAGUGGAAUUCCGAGUGUAGAGGUGAAAUUCGUAGAUAUUCGGAGGAACACCAGUGGCGAAGGCGGCUCACUGGCUCGAUACUGACGCUGAGGUGCGAAAGCGUGGGGAGCAAACA
rnacentral:rRNA from 1 species